UGGGUCCCGGCGGCGGGGCGGGGAGGGACGGGAGUCCCGGGGGCGGCCGGCCACCCGCAGCCCCGAUGCGGAGCCCCUUCUUGCCCGCUGCUGCGCAGGUUCGGUUAUCUAAGCUGUUGCCGCUCAUUUCACUCCCUAAUUUGUUGUUAACCAUCCCUCUAGCUGGUCAGCUCCGUUUCAAGCAGUUGCUCAGUCUCAGGAAAAUCCCCUUGGAGCGCGCUGAUCAGCCAGUUGAUGAGCAUUUGAACUUCCAAGGAAACAAGGUGAUUUGGAUUAAAAAAAAACAAAUCCCACUUGCUUGGAAUGACAGGAAGAAAGAAAUGACAACUCAUGAAGUUGAAGAAACCAGUUUGUGUGCAUGGAGACAGAAGUAG
rnacentral:lncRNA from 1 species